rnacentral:rRNA from 1 species
AAUCGUACCCCAAACCGACACAGGUGGUCAGGUAGAGAAUACCAAGGCGCUUGAGAGAACUCGGGUGAAGGAACUAGGCAAAAUGGUGCCGUAACUUCGGGAGAAGGCACGCUGACACGUAGGUGAAGUGAUUUACUCAUGGAGCUGAAGUCAGUCGAAGAUACCAGCUGGCUGCAACUGUUUAUUAAAAACACAGCACUGUGCAAACACGAAAGUGGACGUAUACGGUGUGACGCCUGCCCGGUGCCGGAAGGUUAAUUGAUGGGGUCAGCGCAAGCGAAGCUCCUGAUCGAAGCCCCGGUAAACGGCGGCCGUAACUAUAACGGUCCUAAGGUAGCGAAAUUCCUUGUCGGGUAAGUUCCGACCUGCACGAAUGGCGUAAUGAUGGCCAGGCUGUCUCCACCCGAGACUCAGUGAAAUUGAACUCGCUGUGAAGAUGCAGUGUACCCGCGGCAAGACGGAAAGACCCCGUGAACCUUUACUAUAGCUUGACACUGAACAUUGAGCCUUGAUGUGUAGGAUAGGUGGGAGGCUUUGAAGUGUGGACGCCAGUCUGCAUGGAGCCGACCUUGAAAUACCACCCUUUAAUGUUUGAUGUUCUAACGUGGACCCGUUACCCGGGUUGCGGACAGUGUCUGGUGGGUAGUUUGACUGGGGCGGUCUCCUCCUAAAGAGUAACGGAGGAGCACGAAGGUUGGCUAAUCCUGGUCGGACAUCAGGAGGUUAGUGCAAUGGCAUAAGCCAGCUUGACUGCGAGCGUGACGGCGCGAGCAGGUGCGAAAGCAGGUCAUAGUGAUCCGGUGGUUCUGAAUGGAAGGGCCAUCGCUCAACGGAUAAAAGGUACUCCGGGGAUAACAGGCUGAUACCGCCCAAGAGUUCAUAUCGACGGCGGUGUUUGGCACCUCGAUGUCGGCUCAUCACAUCCUGGGGCUGAAGUAGGUCCCAAGGGUAUGGCUGUUCGCCAUUUAAAGUGGUACGCGAGCUGGGUUUAGAACGUCGUGAGACAGUUCGGUCCCUAUCUGCCGUGGGCGCUGGAGAACUGAGGGGGGCUGCUCCUAGUACGAGAGGACCGGAGUGGACGCAUCACUGGUGUUCGGGUUGUCAUGCCAAUGGCACUGCCCGGUAGCUAAAUGCGGAAGAGAUAAGUGCUGAAAGCAUCUAAGCACGAAACUUGCCCCGAGAUGAGUUCUCCCUGAGACUUAGAGUCUCCUGAAGGAACGUUGAAGACGACGACGUUGAUAGGCCGGGUGUGUAAGCGCAGCGAUGCGUUGAGCUAACCGGUACUAAUGAACCGUGAGGCUUAACCUUACAACGCCGAAG